AGUGAACGCUGGCGGCAGGCCUAACACAUGCAAGUCGAGCGGCAGCGGGUUCCCGCGAGGGGAUGCCGGCGAGCGGCGGACGGGUGAGGAACACAUCGGAAUCUGCCGUGGUUGUGGGGGAUAACGUAGGGAAACUUACGCUAAUACCGCAUGCGACCCUGAGUCGACGGACUGGGGUGAAAGUGAGGGACCUUCGGGCCUCACGCGACCAGAUGAGCCGAUGUCGGAUUAGCUAGUUGGCGGGGUAACGGCCCGCCAAGGCGACGAUCCGUAGCUGGUCUGAGAGGAUGAUCA
rnacentral:rRNA from 1 species